UCGAGAAUCUUUCGCAAUGGGGGAAACCCUGACGACGCGACGCCGCGUGGAGGAUGAAGGCCUUCGGGUUGUAAACUCCUGUCAGCAGGGGAGAACAAGUGGUCGGUGAAUAAUCGAUUGCCUUGACAGUACAUGCAGAGGAAGCCACGGCUAACUCUGUGCCAGCAGCCGCGGUAAGACAGAGGUGGCAAGCGUUGUUCGGAUUUAUUGGGCGUAAAGGGUCCGUAGGCGGCCUGAAAAGUUGGAUGUGAAAUCCCACAGCUUAACUGUGGAACUGCAUUCAAAACUUUCAGGCUCGAGUGUGAUAGGGGUAAAGGGAAUUCCCGGUGUAAGGGUGAAAUCUGCAGAGAUCGGGAGGAACACCAGUCGCGAAGGCGCUUUACUGGAUCACUACUGACGCUGAGGGACGAAAGCCAGGGGAGCAAACG
rnacentral:rRNA from 1 species